ensembl:lncRNA
GUUUGAAAAUCAGAAGAGCAUGGUGUCUUUCCACUGUCACCACGUCCAUAUAAUAAACUCCACAGACAUGAAAACUGAGAAUUUGGUAGACUAGACAUUGCUGUCGCUCACGGUGAAAGAAUUUUGUCAAUACGACUUUUACUUUUCAUUUGGGAGCGAUUUGUUUCGGCCUGACUUUUCUGUUCAUUUUAAGCAGCAAAAGUAAGGUGCAUGUCUGUGUGCGUGUGUAUGGAGCCCUUGGGUGCGGUCACUAUAGCAACCAGGCUCACACCUGCCUGCUUAACGAGCUCUCUCUCUCACUCUGCCAAGAUUCAUCUUAAACACUUCUCUUUCAACUGCUGCUGUGUCCACAGUGUUAAAGCCAUCAUUUUACCCUCAAAACGUCGCCAUCGUUGUUCUUUUUCCAACAUCUUGUCUUUCAAAGCUCAGAGAUGUAAACUUUUUAAACUGUGUGGGUCCAAGUGGAGGGAUCACAUUUGAGUCAUUCAGUGAUUCAAAGAAUAUGACCUUUUAAUAUUCUUUCAGAUGUUUUCUGACUCUAAAUGUUCUUUUCUCAUUUCUUAGGGUUUUCUAAUUUACAUUUAAAACAUUUUCAGUUUUUUUCCAACUCCUUCUUCUGUGUAACCUUCAGCUUUUAGCAGUUCAGCACCUUUGUUUUCAGGUUAAAUUCGUUUUUUUUUUGUUUUUUUUUAAUCUCAUUCAAUAUUUUUAACUCAAAAUUCAGCAAUUAAUUCAUUUCAGUGCAUACAUUCAGAUUCAAGCAUUCACACUGCAGUUUCUUCAGAAAAUGCACUUUCUAGUUCUAUUUUAUUAUUAUGGAUUCCGUACGUUUUUUGUACUCUAUCUCCUUCAAAACCGUUCAACUUAGAAAAACCAUUCAAACACCAUUAGAUUCCUAUUCUUUUGGACAUGACUGCUUCUAUUUUUCUCAUUUUUAACAUUUAUAUUUUUAAUUUUAUUCAACUUUUUUCAACAAAAAUUUCCCAUGUAUUUCAAUGGGGAGACCCUUCAAAUUCUCAUUCAACUUCCUCCUCUUUAAACUGUAUCUACUUCCACAUACAUUGACAUAGAGCCACCAUUCAAACUUUAAAACGAAGACAAGACAUUCAAC